rnacentral:rRNA from 1 species
AUUGAACGCUGGCGGCAGGCUUAACACUUGCAAGUCGAGCGGGGUGAUGGUGCUUGCACUAUCACUUAGCGGCGGACGGGUGAGUAAUGCUUAGGAAUCUGCCUAUUAGUGGGGGACAACAUCUCGAAAGGGAUGCUAAUACCGCAUACGUCCUACGGGAGAAAGCAGGGGAUCACUUGUGACCUUGCGCUAAUAGAUGAGCCUAAGUCGGAUUAGCUAGUUGGUGGGGUAAAGGCCUACCAAGGCGACGAUCUGUAGCGGGUCUGAGAGAAUGAUCCGCCACACUGGGACUGAGACACGGCCCAGACUCCUACGGGAGGCAGCAGUGGGGAAUAUUGGACAAUGGGGGGAACCCUGAUCCAGCCAUGCCGCGUGUGUGAAGAAGGCCUUAUGGUUGUAAAGCACUUUAAGCGAGGAGGAGGCUCUUUUGGUUAAUACCCAAGAUGAGUGGACGUUACUCGCAGAAUAAGCACCGGCUAACUCUGUGCCAGCCGCCGCAGUAA